rnacentral:rRNA from 1 species
ACGAACGCUGGCGGCGUGCCUAACACAUGCAAGUCGAGCGAUGAAGUUCCUUCGGGAACGGAUUAGCGGCGGACGGGUGAGUAACACGUGGGUAACCUGCCUCAAAGAGGGGGAUAGCCUCCCGAAAGGGAGAUUAAUACCGCAUAACAUUAUUUUCUCGCAUGAGAAGAUAAUCAAAGGAGCAAUCCGCUUUGAGAUGGACCCGCGGCGCAUUAGCUAGUUGGUGAGGUAACGGCACACCAAGGCGACGAUGCGUAGCCGACCUGAGAGGGUGAUCGGCCACAUUGGAACUGAGACACGGUCCAGACUCCUACGGGAGGCAGCAGUGGGGAAUAUUGCGCAAUGGGGGAAACCCUGACGCAGCAACGCCGCGUGAGUGAUGAAGGUCUUCGGAUUGUAAAGCUCUGUCUUUGGGGACGAUAAUGACGGUACCCAAGGAGGAAGCCACGGCUAACUACGUGCCAGCCGCCGC